rnacentral:lncRNA from 10 species
GAACUGGGUCUUAAACAAGUUCAUGAGGCAGAAGGAGCACUUGUGCAAAGGCAGGGAGACAGGGGACACCGCAACUUAUCCUGAGAACUAGAAGAAUGAUGGGAGCCCGGGGGUGCGGAGUGAACUGGGAAAACGGCAAUGGAUUAAUAACAAGAAAUUAAUGGUGAAGUGGUGACUAAAAUUCUACAUUGCUUAGAAAGCAAGUAAGAAAAUCAGUGGUUGUAGAGAAGUUCUUCCAUGAGGUAAUAAAAAUAAAAACUGUGAUGUUAAGCAUUUUCUAUUUUCUUUUCCUCCCCUCCAAAUGAAACAGCAUACUAUUCUGCAUGUUUUUCUACCUAACGAUGUAUCAUUUUAACGACUCUUGUAUUUUAAACCUAAAAUUUUGAUUAAGCUUCACUUAAUAUUAAAAAAGAUAGUAUAGGUCACGAUGUUAUUUGAUGCAAACGUUGGAAAGACAGAAUCUUCUUGAUCCAAGAGCUUCUAGAAUUCAAAGUCUGAUUCUGGUUAUUUCUCUGCUCAUUUAAGAUAGUGAAAUGAACAUUUACAUUCUGGCAACCUCAGAAGUACAACGAACAGAGGACACCCGCCAGGUAGGGCAAAGGCCUGUGCACCCCCUUUUGCUGUUACAUGUUUACCAGGUGCGUGCUCUGUUUCUGUUGUAUUACAUUACUUUUCUCUUCAAUGUCUACUGAGGAAGAACAAGUAGCUCCUCAGGCAAGUCAACUGUUAACUCUGCAGUUUUUAUUUAAUCUCCCAGGAAUGUAACCUUUAACUUUAAAGAAUGUAGUGACCAUAAAACUUAUAAAGCAUGUUUCUUAAGGAAAUUGUACCUGUUUAUUUAAUCUAUCAGAUAUGAAUGUUAUAGAAAAUUAAAUUUGUCCACUUAAGCUAUAGAUGAACUUUUCACCUUUCUGAUCAGAAAUUCACCAUCUUAUAGUAUAGGUUCUGUUAUUAAUCAGAAUAUUUCAUUUAGACUCUUUCUAUCCAACUUUUUCUUAGAGGCUAUUCAAAAUAAAGGUGCUUCUAACAGUUUCAUAUCGAAAUACGAUGCAAAGCCUUGCUCUUCCAUGGUAUCCUUUGAGUGAGCCAAACUUAUUUGGUCAUUCCCCUAUAGUUAAAUAGCUAGGAUGUUUCCAACAUCUCACCUUUAAAACAAUAGUGC